CGCUUAUGGCGGAGUUGUGGUGCAUGUGCUGGACCAGGGGAGGCUGCAGAUGCGUCGUAGAGUUCGUGGUUGAGUACCAGGAGUAGUUUGCCAAAAACGACGAGGACGCACUCGUGCUGGGAGGGCUGCUGCUCUGAGAAUCUCAAAAGACAAACAACAGCCAACAUCUUUCCGAUGAAACACCAUGAGGCCCAAUAAAGGAAUCCCCAGAAUUCCCUGUGUCAUCUGCACGGCCCGCCUGAGAAAGAAUUCAGAGGGGUCUGCGAGGUCCCCGCUCCCUUCAUUGUUGAUUCAGCGGCACACCCCCCACCCAGGACCCAUAAAUGGAUGAGGUCCUUUGUGCGAGGGGAGUGGAGCAGAUUUACUGCGGAUGGUCUCUCUACAAAGGGCCACGCCACUGUCACAACAGGACCGGGAUCAGCUGCUCACCGCUUUCACACAGUAUGAUUUAACGCCGUGCUAAACACGGCCACUGAUGCAGACACAGCCUAUCCAGCCACUCAGCAUCCAUGCACCUCAAUGUGAAAACAGUGAGAGCUUGAGAAGAUGAUCAGAUAAGAUGACAGACAUUCAUUUUAGUUUUACCAUGGUGCUUUAGGUUCACAAGUCCAAAAUUUACCAAUAUAUAAAUCAUACAUCUCUUUAGUUAUCAGUUAGACUGAUAACGACAUUUGAUCUGUGGUCAUCAAUAUGGCUUAUUUUCUGGGCAAUAAAAUUAGAAGACUUGUUUUUAAUGUUUUAACACUCGCACUCAUGCUCAUUUAGCUUCGCCACAUGUACAUUUUGAGCACGCUUCAUUGCCUCUCUGAUAACUUGUGGGUUUGGUUUCCUCUGACAGCGCUUCCCUUGUGGCUCACUGUCCAGCUUCAACAAGUUCUGCGUGAAGGUGGCAAAUUGGUGAAAUCCGACCAUCAACUUCAACUGACGACAUGUAAUUUUAUUUGUCGGGGGAAAUUUGUUUUGCAGCAAGACAUACACAUAAACCAGAGGACACAAAACAACACAGCACAGGACGCUCAUGUCAAAACACUUGUGCUACUGCUCUCAGCAUCUCUCUCAAGAAUGGCGUGAGUUGUCUAGAUUUCAAAACAGACAAAAAUCCAUCAGCCUGAAAUGUAAUCAAUGUUACAAUCUUUUAUAAAUGCCAUUAGAAAUCUGAUUGGACCUACAUUGAGGUGUUAAAAAAAGUCUUAUUUUUAAAGUAAACAGCAUCCACUGCUUGCACUGCAUUGUUGUCAUCAUUAUGGUUUCAUGCCCUGGCACAUUAGCAAAUUGCUUAUGCCAACUGCGCAUUUUGGACAUGUUUCCUCGCCUCUCUAAUAACUCUUGGGUUUGGUUUCCGCCACCAGUCUCUGUUAUGGUGACUGUGAAAUUUAAGGAGCUGGCCCUUCUGUCCGAACAGGCUUUGAGUUUCAGACCUCCCAAAACCAUGAUCCGUGAUUCAACACAUACACGGGACAUA